rnacentral:rRNA from 1 species
UGCGUAGGGCGCAAGCGUUGUCCGGAAUUAUUGGGCGUAAAGAGCUCGUAGGCGGCCUGUUGCGUCCGCUGUGAAAUCCCGGGGCUCAACCCCGGGCCUGCAGUGGAUACGGGCUGGCUAGAGGCAGGCAGGGGAGAACGGAAUUCCUGGUGUAGCGGUGAAAUGCGCAGAUAUCAGGAGGAACACCGGUGGCGAAGGCGGUUCUCUGGGCCUGUACUGACGCUGAGGAGCGAAAGCGUGGGGAGCGAACAGG